rnacentral:rRNA from 1 species
UACGAAGGGGGCUAGCGUUGCUCGGAAUCACUGGGCGUAAAGCGCACGUAGGCGGAUCUUUAAGUCAGGGGUGAAAUCCCAAGGCUCAACCUUGGAACUGCCUUUGAUACUGGGGAUCUCGAGUCCGGAAGAGGUGAGUGGAACUGCGAGUGUAGAGGUGAAAUUCGUAGAUAUUCACAAGAACACCAGUGGCGAAGGCGGCUCACUGGUCCGGUACUGACGCUGAGGUGCGAAAGCGUGGGGAGCAAACAGG